CCUACGGGUGGCAGCAGUGGGGAAUAUUGCUCAAUGGGCGAAAGCCUGACGCAGCGACGCCGCGUGAGGGAUGAAGGUCUUCGGAUCGUAAACCUCUGUCAGCAGGGAAGAACGGUCACUGUGCUAAUCAGCAGUGAAUUGACGGUACCUGCAAAGGAAGCACCGGCUAACUCCGUGCCAGCAGCCGCGGUAAUACGGGGGGUGCGAGCGUUAAUCGGAAUUACUUGGCGUAAAGCGCUCGUAGGCGGGAUGUCAAGGUAAGCGUGAAAUCCCCGCGCUCAACGUGGGAACAGCCGUUGAAACUGGGAAACUGGAGUGUGUGAGAGGAUAGUGGAAUGCCUGGUGUAGGAGUGAAAUCCGUAGAUAUCAGGAGGAACAUCAGUGGCGAAGGCGACUAUCUGGCACAUAACUGACGCUGAGGAGCGAAAGCGUGGGUAGCAAACAGGAUUAGAUACCCUUGUAGUC
rnacentral:rRNA from 1 species